GAUGAACGCUGGCGGCGUGCCUAAUACAUGCAAGUCGAGCGAACGGACGAGAAGCUUGCUUCUCUGAUGUUAGCGGCGGACGGGUGAGUAACACGUGGAUAACCUACCUAUAAGACUGGGAUAACUUCGGGAAACCGGAGCUAAUACCGGAUAAUAUUUUGAACCGCAUGGUUCAAAAGUGAAAGACGGUCUUGCUGUCACUUAUAGAUGGAUCCGCGCUGCAUUAGCUAGUUGGUAAGGUAACGGCUUACCAAGGCAACGAUGCAUAGCCGACCUGAGAGGGUGAUCGGCCACACUGGAACUGAGACACGGUCCAGACUCCUACGGGAGGCAGCAGUAGGGAAUCUUCCGCAAUGGGCGAAAGCCUGACGGAGCAACGCCGCGUGAGUGAUGAAGGUCUUCGGAUCGUAAAACUCUGUUAUUAGGGAAGAACAUAUGUGUAAGUAACUGUGCACAUCUUGACUGUACCUAAUCAGAAAGCCACGGCUAACUACGUGCCAGCAGCCGCGGUAAUACGUAGGUGGCAAGCGUUAUCCCGAAUUAUUGGGCGUAAAGCGCGCGUAGGCGGUUUUUUAAGUCUGAUGUGAAAGCCCACGGCUCACCCGUGGAGGGUCAUUGGAAACUGGAAAACUUGAGUGCAGAAGAGGAAAGUGGAAUUCCAUGUGUAGCGGUGAAAUGCGCAGAGAUAUGGAGGAACACCAGUGGCGAAGGCGACUUUCUGGUCUGUAACUGACGCUGAUGUGCGAAAGCGUGGGGAUCAAACAGGAUUAGAUACCCUGGUAGUCCACGCCGUAAACGAUGAGUGCUAAGUGUUAGGGGGUUUCCGCCCCUUAGUGCUGCAGCUAACGCAUUAAGCACUCCGCCUGGGGAGUACGACCGCAAGGUUGAAACUCAAAGGAAUUGACGGGGACCCGCACAAGCGGUGGAGCAUGUGGUUUAAUUCGAAGCAACGCGAAGAACCUUACCAAAUCUUGACAUCCUUUGACAACUCUAGAGAUAGAGCUUUCCCCUUCGGGGGACAAAGUGACAGGUGGUGCAUGGUUGUCGUCAGCUCGUGUCGUGAGAUGUUGGGUUAAGUCCCGCAACGAGCGCAACCCUUAAGCUUAGUUGCCAUCAUUAAGUUGGGCACUCUAAGUUGACUGCCGGUGACAAACCGGGGGAAGGUGGGGAUGACGUCAAAUCAUCAUGCCCCUUAUGAUUUGGGCUACACACGUGCUACAAUGGACAAUACAAAGGGCAGCGAAACCGCGAGGUCAAGCAAAUCCCAUAAAGUUGUUCUCAGUUCGGAUUGUAGUCUGCAACUCGACUACAUGAAGCUGGAAUCGCUAGUAAUCGUAGAUCAGCAUGCUACGGUGAAUACGUUCCCGGGUCU
rnacentral:rRNA from 1 species